AGUGAACGCUGGCGGCAGGCCUAACACAUGCAAGUCGAACGGCAGCACAGUAAGAGCUUGCUCUUACGGGUGGCGAGUGGCGGACGGGUGAGGUAUACAUCGGAAUCUACUUUUUCGUGGGGGAUAACGUAGGGAAAUUUACGCUAAUACCGCAUACGACCUACGGGUGAAAGCAGGGGAUCUUCGGACUUUGCGCGAUUGAAUGAGCCGAUGUCGGAUUAGCUAGUUGGCGGGGUAAAGGCCCACCAAGGCGACGAUCCGUAGCUGGUCUGAGAGGAUGAUCAGCCACACUGGAACUGAGACACGGUCCAGACUCCUACGGGAGGCAGCAGUGGGGAAUAUUGGACAAUGGGCGCAAGCCUGAUCCAGCCAUACCGCGUGGGUGAAGAAGGCCUUCGGGUUGUAAAGCCCUUUUGUUGGGAAAGAAAAGCAGCAGGUUAAUACCCCGCUGUUCUGACGGUACCCAAAGAAUAAGCACCGGCUAACUUCGUG
rnacentral:rRNA from 1 species